CUAUCCUAAUGAGCAUAAAGGCUGAAAAACUCAAAAAAUCAAUGUGUUGUCAUCAGCUUUUUCCUUGCUUUUCAUGGGGAACAGAGUUAAACAACAACACAACAUCA
rnacentral:snoRNA from 1 species